UAUCUUAUGCCUGCCUCUUUGACACCUGACUACGGGACUCAUACAACGCAGCUGGUUUGGCUGUGAAACAAGGUUGGAAAUUGUCACCUGUGGUGGGUCAGAAGUGGAUGAGAAGAUUGGAGUGAAGCAUCCUUCAGAGGUUUCCGCAGAGACACGGAGUGACACGGGAAGACUAAUUAUCCAGCGUUCUUUUUACGCUGCAUCAGCACCAGGGAAUGAGUGAUCCUAGUUGGCUGUCGAUGAGAGAAGUGCUCUCCAGGAUGCUGGUGAGAGAGAGUGACGGGGCGAGCUAGGGCCAGCUAACCAUGUGACUCCAGCCAGCCAACCAUCUUCCAGUGUGGCCAGACGGGUGACCCGCGACUGGAGAGAACCCGCCGGGCCCGUGCGGUGAUGUGCUGUGGUUUUACCAGACGGAGGCUAAGUAAAAAAAGCAAUUAGCAAGAAACACAUGAAUGCAUC